UACAGAGGUCCCAAGCGUUGUUCGGAUUCAUUGGGCGUAAAGGGUGCGUAGGUGGCGCCGUAAGUCAGGUGUGAAAUCUCGGGGCUUAACUCCGAAACUGCAUUUGAUACUGCGGUGCUUGAGGACUGGAGAGGAGACUGGAAUUUACGGUGUAGCGGUGAAAUGCGUAGAUAUCGUAAGGAAGACCAAUUGCGAAGGCAGCUUACUACACAGUUAUUGACGCUGAGGCACGAAAGCGUGGGGAUCAAACAGG
rnacentral:rRNA from 1 species